rnacentral:lncRNA from 1 species
CAUAAAAGCCUAUGUCCUCCUGACUUCAGGGUAACCAGUUUCUCCUGUGGCUGCAGCCAGAGGUAGUCAAGACUGGAACAUUCAAAAUGGCAUCUCCUUGGAGACAGAUCAAAAGCUGAAAUCUUCCUCUGGCAGCUAUCUUCAAAAGUACCACCUCCAACAUUGGGGAUCAAAUUUAAGCACGGUAUUUGAAGAAGACAAACGUCCAAAAAAUGGCAAGGAUCUUAAGAAAAUUUUUCAUGAUAAUCUGAGUGGACCUUACUUGAAUUCAUUGAAAGAGUUUAAGUGUGGAACUGGAGGGGAAAAAAAAGUCACUGUGGAUUACAGCUUCAUCUCCUGCCCAAGAGAUAACAGCCUGACCUUUCUGGAAGCCUGCCUUAUAGACUUAGAACUUGUCUAUUGAGCCACCAGAGUGGUCAUUCUAGGUGGAAGGGACUUGCCUAUUCUCAGAUGAGACUUUGGACUUGAACUUUUUGGUUAAUGCUGG